rnacentral:rRNA from 1 species
UACGAACUGUGCAAACGUUAUUCGGAAUCACUGGGCUUAAAGGGUGCGUAGGCGGCGGGGCAAGUCUGAUGUGAAAUCCCGGGGCUCAACCCCGGAACUGCAUUGGAUACUGCCUUGCUAGAGUACUGGAGAGGGAACUGGAAUUUACGGUGUAGCAGUGAAAUGCGUAGAGAUCGUAAGGAAGGCCAGUGGCGAAGGCGAGUUCCUGGACAGUUACUGACGCUGAGGCACGAAGGCCAGGGGAGCAAACGGG